AGCUCUGUGGUGUAGACAUAUUGGAUUGCAAAUCCGAAGACGCAAGUAAUUUUGCCGGAGCUU
rnacentral:tRNA from 1 species